rnacentral:rRNA from 1 species
AGUGAACGCUGGCGGUAGGCCUAACACAUGCAAGUCGAACGGCAGCACAGUAAGAGCUUGCUCUUACGGGUGGCGAGUGGCGGACGGGUGAGGAAUACAUCGGAAUCUACUUUUUCGUGGGGGAUAACGUGGGGAAACUUACGCUAAUACCGCAUAUGACCUACGGGUGAAAGCAGGGGAUCUUCGGACCUUGCGCGAUUGAAUGAGCCGAUGUCGGAUUAGCUAGUUGGCGGGGUAAAGGCCCACCAAGGCGACGAUCCGUAGCUGGUCUGAGAGGAUGAUCAGCCACACUGGAACUGAGACACGGUCCAGACUCCUACGGGAGGCAGCAGUGGGGAAUAUUGGACAAUGGGCGCAAGCCUGAUCCAGCCAUACCGCGUGGGUGAAGAAGGCCUUCGGGUUGUAAAGCCCUUUUGUUGGGAAAGAAAAGCAGCAGGUUAAUACCCCGCUGUUCUGACGGUACCCAAAGAAUAAGCACCGGCUAACUUCGUG